rnacentral:rRNA from 1 species
GAUGAACGCUGGCGGCGUGCCUAACACAUGCAAGUCGAGCGAUUCUCUUCGGAGAAGAGCGGCGGACGGGUGAGUAACGCGUGGGUAACCUGCCCUGUACACACGGAUAACAUACCGAAAGGUAUGCUAAUACGAGAUAAUAUGCUUUUAUCGCAUGGUAGAAGUAUCAAAGCUUUUGCGGUACAGGAUGGACCCGCGUCUGAUUAGCUAGUUGGUAAGGUAACGGCUUACCAAGGCGACGAUCAGUGGCCGACCUGAGAGGGUGAUCGGCCACAUUGGAACUGAGACACGGUCCAAACUCCUACGGGAGGCAGCAGUGGGGAAUAUUGCACAAUGGGCGAAAGCCUGAUGCAGCGACGCCGCGUGAGCGAUGAAGGCCUUCGGGUCGUAAAGCUCUGUCCUCAAGGAAGAUAAUGACGGUACUUGAGGAGGAAGCCCCGGCUAACUACGUGCCAGCCGCCGCUGUAAUAC